UACGGAGGGAGCUAGCGUUGUUCGGAAAUACUGGGCGUAAAGCGCACGUAGGCGGCGCAGCAAGUCAGGGGUGAAAUCCCGGGGCUCAACCUCGGAACUGCCCUUGAAACUGCAGUGCUAGAAUCUUGGAGAGGCGAGUGGAAUUCCGAGUGUAGAGGUGAAAUUCGUAGAUAUUCGCAAGAACACCAGUGGCGAAGGCGGCUCACUGGCCCGAUACUGACGCUGAGGCACGAAAGCGUGGGGAGCAAACAGG
rnacentral:rRNA from 1 species